GACGAACGCUGGCGGCGUGCUUAACACAUGCAAGUCGAACGGAAAGGCCCUGCUUUGGUGGGGUGCUCGAGUGGCGAACGGGUGAGUAACACGUGAGUAACCUGCCCUUGACUUUGGGAUAACUUCAGGAAACUGGGGCUAAUACCGGAUAGGAGCUCCUGCUGCAGGGUGGGGGUUGGAAAGUUUGGGCGGUUGGGGAUGGACUCGCGGCUUAUCAGCUUGUUGGUGGGGUAGUGGCUUACCAAGGCUUUGACGGGUAGCCGGCCUGAGAGGGUGACCGGCCACAUUGGGACUGAGAUACGGCCCAGACUCCUACGGGAGGCAGCAGUGGGGAAUAUUGCACAAUGGGCGGAAGCCUGAUGCAGCAACGCCGCGUGCGGGAUGACGGCCUUCGGGUUGUAAACCGCUUUCGCCUGUGACGAAGCGUGAGUGACGGUAAUGGGUAAAGAAGCACCGGCUAACUACGUG
rnacentral:rRNA from 1 species